AUUUCCUAAACCCUCUCUGUCUGGCAGCAGCACACACAAUGGUGGAACUGUGGAUAUUCAAGUUUUAGGAGAGGUGGAAUCCAAGAUGGACAACAAAGAUCUGGAGAUGUCUAGUGCCUCUGUGCAUCCAUCAACUACAUCAGCCAUGGACUCUGAUACACAUGCAUUAUUUGACUCCACUAGCAAUGACUACACCUCUUUGGUACUUUUACUGAUUGUUAGAUUGCUGUCAAUGAUCACCCCUAUCACAUUACUGGAAUCCUCCGACAUUGGUGAAACAUCAAGAGUUCUCACAAAGAGGAUUCUGUCUGAGUUCUGUGGCACCUCAGGCCCUGAACAAACUCAAGCCUAUCCCCAGAAUCUGAAAAUCAAAAAGAUUUUCAAGGCUGUCUACAUGGGGCUUCUUCAAGAAUUCGGGUCAGAGAAGAUGCUCCAGGUUGCAAUGAAGUCAACGGAUUAUGCAUUUGACGAUGCCCUGGUCAAAUCAUUAACUAGGGAACUACUAGCUAAAUGCGAUGAGGCUAGCUCUUCACCUCCCUCCAUGACCCAGUUGUCAUCACACAAUGCACUUGGCAGUGACGAGGUAUGUAAUUCUGGGCUUCCAACAACUGGUAGAAAGGAAAAGAAGAGAGGAAGAUUCAGCGCUCUCUGUGGACUCAACCCAAAGUGUACAAAGAAGGACAACAAGAAGAACCACUGCACUCCAACACCUUCCCAGAACCAGACCCCUGCCGUCAGUGAAACAGCAAUUGUCAAUGAUCAAGAAUCCUGCCGAACAGAGAGUGUAUGCUCCACCAAGAAGAAACCAAGGAAGCGUUCGCUCAUUUCCAGGAUGUUUUCAGCUAUAGGCAAAGCCUUGUCCAGUCCCUUUACUUCCUGCUAUAAAAAGAAGAGCACCUAAUCUAUAUUUCAAAAUAAAUAUUUGAAAUUAACAUAA